rnacentral:rRNA from 1 species
CGAACCUGGCGGCGUGUUACACAUGCGUUGAAACGAGGUCCAUCCGAUCUUCGGAGUGGUAAAGACCUAGUGGCGAACGGGUGCGUAACACGUGAGAAACCUGCCCCGGUCUCUGGGAUAACAGUUGGAAACGACUGCUAAUACCGGAUGCCGUCGGACCGUCGCAUGGCGGACCGACGAAAGGGUUACCGGAUCGGGAGGGUCUCGCGGCCUAUCAGCUUGUUGGUGAGGUAACGGCUCACCAAGUGCAUCGACGAGGUAGCAUGGUCUAGAGAGGAUGAUCAGCCACACUGGGACUGAGACACGGCCCAGACUCCUACGGGAGGCAGAAGAGGGGAAUAUUGCACAAUGGGCGAAAGCCUGAUGCCAAAACGCCACGUGCGGGAUGAAGGGCCUAGGGUUGUAAAACCGAUUUCCACAAGGGAAGAACACUGACCGGCACCUGGUAACAGCAAGGGUGCGGCCAAAUAACGUUGCCAACAAGCCGCAGGAGACACCUAAGGCCCCCAGCCGUCGGCCGGAAUACAUAGGCGGCGUAAAGAACCUCAGAAGCGCAUCAGAAACGUCGGUGGUAACACAUCUGGGUUCAACCAGAAGAACCACCCGAUACUGUGUGACUGAAUGCGGUAAGGGAACGGGAAU